rnacentral:rRNA from 1 species
UACAGAGGUCCCGAGCGUUGUUCGGAUUCACUGGGCGUAAAGGGCGCGCAGGUGGUCGGGUAAGUCUGACGUGAAAUCUCGGAGCUCAACUCCGAAACGGCGUUGGAUACUAUCCGGCUUGAGGGUCGGAGGGGGGACUGGAAUUCUCGGUGUAGCAGUGAAAUGCGUAGAUAUCGAGAGGAACACCAGUGGCGAAGGCGAGUCCCUGGACGACACCUGACACUGAGGCGCGAAAGCUAGGGGAG